GAUGAACGCUGGCGGCGUGCCUGAUACAUGCAAGUCGAGCGAACAGACGAGGAGCUUGCUCCUCUGACGUUAGCGGCGGACGGGUGAGUAACACGUGGAUAACCUACCUAUAAGACAGGGAUAACUUCGGGAAACCGGAGCUAAUACCGGAUAAUAUAUUGAACCGCAUGGUUCAAUAGUGAAAGACGGUUUUGCUGUCACUUAUAGAUGGAUCCGCGCCGCAUUAGCUAGUUGGUAAGGUAACGGCUUACCAAGGCAACGAUGCGUAGCCGACCUGAGAGGGUGAUCGGCCACACUGGAACUGAGACACGGUCCAGACUCCUACGGGAGGCAGCAGUAGGGAAUCUUCCGCAAUGGGCGAAAGCUUGACGGAGCAACGCCGCGUGAGUGAUGAAGGUCUUCGGAUCGUAAAACUCUGUUAUUAGGGAAGAACAAAUGUGUAAGUAACUAUGCACGUCUUGACGGUACCUAAUCAGAAAGCCACGGCUAACUACGUG
rnacentral:rRNA from 1 species